rnacentral:rRNA from 1 species
UGGGGAAUAUUGCACAAUGGGCGCAAGNNGAUGCAGCGACGCCGCGUGAGGGAUGACGGCCUUUCGGGUUGUAAACCUCUGUUAGCAGGGAAGAAGAGAAAUUGACGGUACCUGCAGAGAAAGCGCCGGCUAACUACGUGCCAGCAGCCGCGGUAAUACGUAGGGCGCGAGCGUUGUCCGGAAUUAUUGGGCGUAAAGAGCUUGUAGGCGGUUUGUCGCGUCUGCUGUGAAAGGCCGGGGCUUAACCCCGUAUAUUGCAGUGGGUACGGGCAGACUAGAGUGCAGUAGGGGAGACUGGAACUCCUGGUGUAGCGGUGAAAUGCGUAGAUAUUAGGAAGAACCCCAGUGGGGAAGGGGGCCUUUUUGACGAAAACUGACGCCUGAGGCCCGAAAGCCAGGGGAGCGAACGGGAUUAGAUACCCCGGUAGUCCUGGCCGUAAACGAUGGGUACUAGGUGUAGGAGGUAUCGACCCCUUCUGUGCCGGAGUUAACGCAAUAAGUACCCCGCCUGGGGAGUACGACCGCAAGGUUG